UACGAAGGGGGCUAGCGUUGUUCGGAAUCACUGGGCGUAAAGGGCGCGUAGGCGGCUGUUCAAGUCGGGGGUGAAAUCCUGUGGCUCAACCACAGAAUGGCCUUCGAUACUGGACGGCUAGAGACCGGAAGAGGUGAGUGGAACUGCGAGUGUAGAGGUGAAAUUCGUAGAUAUUCGCAAGAACACCAGUGGCGAAGGCGGCUCACUGGCCCGAUACUGACGCUGAGGCACGAAAGCGUGGGGAGCAAACAGG
rnacentral:rRNA from 1 species